AAUGAAAUGAGCAACAAAUCAAUCUCAUCAAUACUUAGGCUUAUGCGCAUGUAAAUCACAAAAACAUAAUACCAACCAUCCUCAUAAGACAAAAUUACUACUGUAACAGCCAAUUCUAGGGAUAACAAAUUAAGAGUCAACAAACUCAACUCUCUACAAAGAACAAAAAGGUAAUUUAAGCUUGUUAAAACUUAAAAUUGAGAUAAUUUAUAAUCUGUCUCUCUAUA